rnacentral:rRNA from 1 species
UACGUAGGGCGCAAGCGUUAUCCGGAAUUAUUGGGCGUAAAGAGCUCGUAGGCGGUUUGUCGCGUCUGCCGUGAAAGUCCGGGGCUCAACUCCGGAUCUGCGGUGGGUACGGGCAGACUAGAGUGAUGUAGGGGAGACUGGAAUUCCUGGUGUAGCGGUGAAAUGCGCAGAUAUCAGGAGGAACACCGGUGGCGAAGGCGGAUCUCUGGGCCAGUACUGACGCUGAGGAGCGAAAGCGUGGGGAGCAAACAGG